rnacentral:rRNA from 1 species
GCCUACGGGGGGCUGCAGUGGGGAAUAUUGCGCAAUGGGGGAAACCCUGACGCAGCAACGCCGCGUGAGUGAAGAAGGCCUUUGGGUUGUAAAGCUCUGUCAAUAGGGAAGAAGUCUUAUGUCUAAAAAGGGUAUAAGAUGACGGUACCUAUGGAGGAAGCCACGGCUAACUACGUGCCAGCAGCCGCGGUAAUACGUAGGUGGCGAGCGUUGUCCGGAAUUACUGGGCGUAAAGGGCGUGUAGGUGGUCAAACAAGUCAGGUGUGAAACCCCGGGGCUUAACUUCGGGCAUGCAUUUGAAACUGUAUGACUUGAGGGCAAGAGAGGAAAGUGGAAUUCCUAGUGUAGCGGUGAAAUGCGUAGAUAUUAGGAGGAACACCAGUGGCGAAGGCGACUUUCUGGAUUGGCCCUGACACUGAGGCGCGAAAGCGUGGGGAGCAAACAGGAUUAGAUACCCCAGUAGUCCAC